GAUGAACGCUAGCGGCAGGCUUAAUACAUGCAAGUCGUGGGGCAGCAUAGGGUAGCAAUACUCUGAUGGCGACCGGCAAACGGGUGCGGAACACGUACGCAACCUUCCUUUAAUUGGAGAAUAGCCCCUCGAAAGAGGGAUUAAUACUCCGUAACAUGUUGAUAAGGCAUCUUAUUAAUAUUAUAGCUUCGGCGGUUAAAGAUGGGCGUGCGACUGAUUAGGUAGUUGGCGGGGUAACGGCCCACCAAGCCUUCGAUCAGUAACUGGUGU
rnacentral:rRNA from 1 species